rnacentral:rRNA from 1 species
CCAAUAGCGUAUAUUAAAGUUGUUGCAGUUAAAAAGCUCGUAGUUGAAUUUCGGGAUCAGUAUGUUGGUCGUGCUUCGGUACGUACUGUCAUUACUGGUUUCUACCUUCUGAAGAACCUUGAUGUCAUUAAUUUGGUGUCUUGGGGAAUCAGGACUGUUACUUUGAAAAAAUUAGAGUGUUUAAAGCAAGCAUACGCUUGAAUACAUUAGCAUGGAAUAAUGAAAUAGGACGUUUGAUUCUAUUUUGUUGGUUUCUAGGAUCGACGUAAUGAUUAAUAGGGAUAGUUGGGGGCAUUAGUAUUCAAUUGUCAGAGGUGAAAUUCUUGGAUUUAUUGAAGACUAACUACUGCGAAAGCAUUUGCCAAGGAUGUUUUCAUUAAUCAAGAACGAAAGUUAGGGGAUCGAAGACUAUCAGAUACCGUCGUAGUCUUAACCAUAAACUAUGCCGACUAGGGAUCGGAUGAUGUUAAUUUUUUAAUGACUCAUUCGGCGCCUUACG